AGCUAUGGCACUCGCGCAUAAUUGUCUUCUUCAGCAACAUCAUCAUCCUUGUUGGUACAAGAAAAAUGGUAAGCCAUAUGGCAAGUCAAGAAGGUUACACGUGGUACAUGCAACCAAUCAGUGAGUCACAGGAGAGGCUAAAGAGUCGAGACUGCAAAAUCUUCUUCAAUGUUGUGCAAUUUACUUUGCAGAUUGAAUACUGUUUUGGCAAAAGAAAAUGGUGCAGAUAUAGCUCCUGACUGACAGACAGUGUAGCAGACAAGCAUCUUUUCAGGAAUUGCAGACGAAAUGGAGUCGACCGUGCUCCGGAAUGUUUUCUAAUGUGAUUGUCUUGAGGUAGAAUUGGCUGUGGUGAUGGU